GUGCCGUGCUCGCAAGACGUCCUGCUCAAUUCUGUGAGAAACACAAGCAACAUAGUGUCUACCCGAAAUUUCAAGAGACAUGAGAGAGAAAGGCGAGCUGAGCUAGGCGUUAGUGGUCAGGAUGACCGUUUGCUAUGCAUUGCAAACGGGCGAGACGGAAGAGAUGGAAGAGACGGACCAGAUGGACAAAAUAGCGCUAAAGUACUUAACUGCUAGAAAUACAGUUUGUCGUAAUU